AACUGGAACACUUUAAAAUAAGGCUCAUUAGUUAACUACAUUAAUUAACAAUAACUAAUAAUGAUCUGCACUUAUACAGCAAUUGUUCAUCUUUUCAUGUUAAUUUCCACAUUUAAUAAUACUUGACAAUCUUGUUAAUAUUAGUUAAUGCACUGAACUAAUAUGAACAAACAAUGAACAGCUUUAUUUCUAUUAACUAACAUUAACAAAGAUUAAUAAAUAAUGUUACAAAUGUGUUAGUCAUUGUUAGUUCAUGUUAGUUAAUACACUAAUGUUUAAUAAAUUAACCUUAUUAUAAAGUGCCAUUCUUUCAAAUGGACUCUCUGCCAAGAGACCCGCCCUCCUCUGACUCUGAUUGGCCGUGAACCUGAAACAAACCAAUCAAUCCACCGAUGUCAGCGAGUAUUACCCAAUCAGGGGCAGAAUAGGACUAGUCUUCACAGAAUGAUCUGCAUGAGAUGCUGCAUUGAAGACAACUCCGAAAAUACGGGACAAACCCCAUCCCGUAUUGAUUCAAAAUGGGACCCGCUAUUUUAUUCUCAAAUACGGGACGAUUACGUAUUCUAAGGGACGGGUGGCAACCCUAAGUUUAGCGAAUGAAUCGAUGCCUAAGAAUUAAAGCAAAGUGAUGAAAACAAGUAGGCCUAUGUGAAUGAAGGUGGUACAGAUGGAAGGCUGCUUAAAUAGUAUGUGAUAUUUCCCAAUCAGUGCAAUACAAUGUUUUCAUGAGUCGCUUAAAAUGAUCAAAGUUAUCAACGUUACGGAUAUUCAAAAUGGUAACCAAGCGCUGCUUUGUUUACAUUUAGUGUAUCUGAAUUUAUAUUGUAUGUUUCAGUUUCACCUUUUGAAUGACAAAUAUAUACUAUAAAUUGCUUCUGAUAUGAAGCGCUCAUUACUCAUUAAUCUGUGCGGUUUGUUCCAGUGGAACUUUUUGGUCUGAUGCUGCCGAGCGAGGCAGCAACCACCUUUUGUCGCUGCUAGUUCUUUGUAGUCAGCUUGGUGUCCGGGCCUUAAAGUAGGGUGACCACCCAUCCCGCGUAGCACGUGCGCGCACAGCGUAUGAGUCCCACUAAUUGAGACUGUUGCCGCGUUUCCACCGAAAUUACCCGGAACAUUUUUACCAGGAACUUUUUUUCCCAGGAACUUUUUUCCCCCCAGACCUGUUGCUUUCUGCGUUUCCACCGCGGUGUAAAGUACCGGGUAGAUUAGGCAAAUAGACUGGUGACGUAGGUCUGCGCGCGUUUCUCAAUACAAAGUACUGCUGAUUUGUUUGUUUUUUUAAAGUACGCUGAUUUUGGACGUGCAUCCUCGGUAGUUAGUUCAGACUUUGUGCAUUCGACUGGGGAGUGUGAUGUCCGCGACGACGCAAGUCCGGUAAAUCUAUAAACAGCAGCGUACUUGAUAACUUCAGUCAGCUCGUCUUGGCUACUGCAAUUUUCCUAUUUACCAUAAAACGAAAUAGGAUAUAAAAUACCACUGCCUCCUUUGGUUUUCAUUUAAGCAUAAUAACAGCUGCAGAAAUGUACUUAGUUCAGGGAUAUGUGUAUAUGCAGCCAUUACAAUGAACGAAAUAUUAUAUAAAUUUGCCUUUUUUAUUUUCAUUUUAACAUAUAGAUAAAUUGAAUACAGACCAAAGAAAACCUGUUAGAUUUACCCCGCAGCUGAAUUAUAUGUUAUGUUUAACCACUAAAGACACAUCAGAGCCAGCGGCACAUAUCAGAAGGUCUAGCCGAUUUGAGGCUGCAUCUCGGCGGAUACAUGAGGACUGAGCUCUCGCUGAUCGAGUGGAGCUCACCGUCGCAGAGAUCGGCGAAACACAUUUUUUAAAUAGGCACGGUCUUUAUAAAUAAACCAUAGAUUUGAGUUUUAAACAACUACAUUCUCGCCUGAAAUACUUUUAAAAUUACAUUUCAUGACACAAUAACAGUAAUAUUUGAAAAUGAUCCAAAUAAAUGGUGGUUGAACUCAACCAAUGCUGCGUGAACUCAGAUCGCUACUGCAAUUUUCCCCUCAGUACAUUUACAAUAAAACGAAAUAGGAUAUAAAAUACCACUGCCUCCUUUCGUUUUCAUUUAAACAUAAUAACAGCUGCAGAAAUGUACUUAGUUCAGGGAUAAGUGUAACGUUAUAUACAGCCAUUACAAUGAAACGAAAUAUUAUAUAGACUUCCCUGCUAACACACGACGUAACAGUUACGUAACGUACUGGUAAUUUUUGGUAAUUCCAUGAUUUACCAAUUGACAACGUAACUACGACGUCGCAUGCCCUUAAUUUUAUUACCAUCACAUUACCAACUCACAACGUCGUCAGUACGUCCUUCCAACGUGACCAGAUAACCAAGAACGUCCCAGAUAGGUCCUCUAUUGGUAAUAUAUUGGUAACUUCAUGACUUACUGGCAACGUAACUACAACGUCGUAUGCACGUAAUAUCAUUACCAUAUUUUUACGUUCUUUAUAUGCUCUCUGAGUAUAGAGCUAUUUAAAGAGGGUAAUGUAACUUCAGACACAAGAUUAAACGUUCCUUAAAGAUAAAAUAUGUUUAUUUUCACCAAGUCAGAAUAUGGACAUGCUUUCAAUAUAUAGUGACGUGACAUACAGGCGCUCGCUUCCACAACUGACGCACCGCGCGCACAGUAUUGACAAGAAAAGAGUUGUGAAACUUUCUAUCUCGUAAGGAGUUAUGAACGUGAAAUAGUGACACAGACUGGCUACACCAUCUCAUCUGCAGCAGAGACUGUUGUAUCAGGAGGACAGCGCGUUUGUUUGACGCACUUUUCACUUCAACUUUGUCUGACAGGAGAAUUAGCUUUCUGAGCCUUAUAGCCGUUGAGUAACCAUGGCAACCGCGUAACGUUACACAUCGGCUGCUGGAGAGGAGAGGACUCGUCUGACAUUUUCUUCUUGUUUCUCGUCAGUUAUACCAAAGAAAAGGCCAACAACUGCGACAGAUUUGUUAAGUAACACGUUAAUAUUAUCCACAGUCUACUUUAAGUACUUUUUGUUAAUAUUUAUACCUCUGUGAUUAUGGUAUUUUUCCUGAAAUGUCUGCUAUCAAGUAUUACGCUAGCAUAGAAACAUAAUUAACGUUAUAGCAUAUUAGAUUUGAGCCCUUAUUAAUGAAAGCUUGGCCUUUUAAUUACAUGGGUAAAGGAUCGGUUUUGAUUGCUUUGUAAAUGUUUUUGAUGGUAAUUUGUCAAUAGAUAAAUGAAGUAAAGUUAAGCUAAUUAAUUUAACCUAAAAGUCUGCACUGUAGAGUCUAUCAGUGACGUCACUCGCGGUCUAAAAUGGGCUGAAACUAUUUCAAACCACUGUUUCAAGCUUGUUCUGAUUUAUCAUUGUAAACAAAUAUUGAUAAAAAAAAAAUUGUGCAGUGAUUUCAGGAGUGUCUUAAAAACCCUCUAAAACAGAGGAGAAGUUCCAAGAAAAUGUCUAAAGGGAGCUGCUGACAGAGAUAAAAAACACAGUUUGUUUAUUUCUAAUAAGGAGCUGGAAGCCGUGAAGAAACAGAUCCAUGAUAUUGUGGAGAAGCAGGCCCAGAUGAGCGAGUGGAGAGCUGUGCUGGAAAUAUUCAGGGGUUGAUGCUCAUAAGUCCAGGGUAAGUAUACAGCUAACCCUCCUACCACCUCUACUCUGUGUAGUUCUCUGCAAAGGCCCGGUGUACCCAGGAUGCGAUCUUCCCAGAUGUCCUUCACCCUAUUUCACAGUGUAAGACAUGAUCCAGGCCCUGGGCGACGACCUCUCUCCAUCCGCCGCCUCCGGUCUUCAGGAUCUCCACCAGAACCCGAUUCGCUCCACUUCGCGAGACAGAACAAAACGCUGUGAUCAUCAGAGACUCCAUCGUCCGGCACGUUUGCGCUAUGUUAGCUGAAGGUAAAGUCCACACUCACUUCUUCCCUGGUGCUUAUGUUC